ensembl:lncRNA
ACUUUUUCUAUUUAACAUUAGCAUCUCAAGCACCUGCCAGUUAGAUUGCCACUUUUUCUAGGAAAUGCAGCUUUCAGCAAUUUUUUGUUGAUUUAAAUGAAAUCAACCUGGCUCAGCUAAUAUUAACCGAUUAGAUUUAGAAUGAAGUCCCAAGACCAAUGGCAGGCAGAUGAGAAAUGCUUGAAAUUAAAUGUUGGGUGACCUAAGCAGAUUCUAUCAGCUUGAAGAAAUUACAAGUAAGAGGAGAAGGGGACUUGAGGACAUCAUGAAGAACCCAUGAAGGGUCCAGGAUGUAUUGAGAAAGAGGUACACAAAGAUGGCUGGGUACAGCAACAGAGAUCUCAUAUCAUUACAGUAAGUCUCCACUAUAUGAAGUUACAUGGAAACAGCCUCUCCCUUGCUGGUUGAUAAAGUAUAAUCCCUACCAACCUAAAACCAAAAUUAAAAAAAAUGUACAUAAAAUUUAAUGGCUGCAUUCAUUCAUAUUCAAUAUUUAGGUGCCACUGCUUUUCUCAUUGAGUCAUAACCUCUAAUUAGGCUGUGGGAUGGGAUCAGUGUGGUAGGUCAAAUCUAGCUUUGUCAUUUUGUUUAAAUGAAUGGAAUGGUGCUGUGGACCAAGUGUUUGGGUCCCCUCCACCCCAUCAUCUAAAUCCAUAUGUUGAAAUUUAACCCCAGUAUAUGGAGGUAGGGUCUUGAGGUGACCAGAUCAUGUGGGUAGAGCUCUUAUAAAACACUCCCCACCUUUCUGCCAUGUGAGGAGACAGCAAAAAGACAGCUGUCUAAGAACCAGGAAGUGGGCUCUGACCACAGCCUUGAUCUUGGACUUCCCAACCUCCAGAACUAUGAGAAAUAAGCGCUGUUUAUAAGCCUCCCAGUUUAUGAUAUUUCUGUUGUAGCAGACUAAAUAGACUAAGACAAAUGGAAUGGAAUGAGAGGUUUCUUCACAUGAAAUUUUAAUGCAUGUGUAUGACUAUGGGCUCACUAUGAGGACCCUAUUAUUUCUGUCUACAGAACUCAUAAAGUUUGUGGACCAUUGAUAUAGAUGGCUACUAGUUUUUAAUUAUCAUAAAUAACGAUAAAAUAGACAACUCUUGGUGGGGAGGGAAUUUGACCUGUAUUUCCACUUAUUAUCUAAUGGUUUAUUUUUCAGACACAAUGCUGCUGCAUGAAAGGGGUAAAACAUUUAUAAUAUUUUUGACAGGUAUCACUCAAACUGUCCUAAUUUAGACUUGGAACAGACCAGCAGAAAAAUUCAUCAGUUCAUCAGUAUGACUUCAGCAAAAAUUUUCUAUUCCUCUAAUCAUUGCUAAUAUGAUGGGUAAAUGAUCUUCCAUUGCUUUGAUUUAUAUUUACUUGAAAAUGAGUGAGGUUAAUUCUUUGAAAUAUUUAAUGUGAAUUAUCUACAUAUGUCCUCCCCUUUUUGUUGGGUUCCUUUCUUUGUUGGAGAUCCUAACUUUAUUUAUGUUUUUCCACACAUUAUUUUUAAAGGAAAACUUCCCAGUUAUUACCUAGGGAUUAAAGUAUAUGAGAGGAGAAAACAGGGGAAAGCAUUUUAGGGGAGAAAAUAGGGGAAAUCUUGAUUUUACUUGAUUUUACUGCCUUUAGUGCCAGAAUCCUUUACUUGAUUUUGAACCAGCUGCCUGACACAGUAUACUAGCCUUAAAAAUAACUUAAAAAAAAGUGCCAGAAGUGCAGCCAAUAUGACACUGCAAGUUUGCACUUUGUACUUCCUCCUCUGUGCCAAAUACUUCAAUGGUAGGUUUAUUAUUUUUUAAAUUAAGACAGUAGUACUGGAAAAUGUGAAAGAGCAAUUUUACAAGCUAUAGAGGGCAGAUUAAACACCCCACAUACAUAUGAUGCGAGUUCCAGAAAGAAAGAAUUUAAUUCAACUGCAAAAAAUAUGUUUUGGAAAAGGUCAUUAUUGAAAAUUUUACAAAAUUAAAGAAUAAAAUGAGUUUUCAAAUUAAAAGAAAAAGUAAUCAUUGAGUAGUAUAAACAAAAAGUAAAUCUACUCCAGGGCAUUGGGAUAAAGAAGAAAUCUUAAAAGGUACUUUAAAUAUGAGGCAGAUUACCUAGUAAUAAGCUCAAAUUGUCAAGUGGAAGAUUUUCUCUCAGCAACAAUGGAUGCCAGGACACAAAUAAAAACCUUUAAAACCUUAGAGAAAUAAAUCUAUUCAGGAUUUGAUACCCAGCUAAACUCUCCAUAAGUCUUUGGAGUGCACAGAGAAGGGGGCAGGAAGCAUAUGAAAACUGAGAGUUUACUUGCCUAAAG